rnacentral:lncRNA from 1 species
UUAUCUUUGUGAAGUCUUCGACGUGGAGAAUCUUGUCUUCUUUAUCAACCUUCUUCAAAUUUCUUCAAAAUUCAUCAUUUUUUUGAUCGAUUGGACUUGUUAGAUCUUGUCGAUGUGCUUUGGGAUGUAACAUUUUGCUUUGCAACCCUCAUAGGAGGAUUCCUAAUGGUAAGCCAUUGUGUCAACUUUCCAUCCCAAUUUUGUUGUCUUUCGUGUGAUAUCAUUGUGCUUUUGGUCGUACUGCUUUGCAAGUGUCUAGGCGAAAAAUCCCCUUGCAUCGCAACAUUGGAAAAUGUGUUGUCUAGGAGUUCAUCCUCUUCCCCCUCUUCAGAAAGAUUUGUGCCAUAUCCACUCCAAAAGUGUCAGUUGGAUUGAAUCCUGGAACAAUUAUUGCUCGGUCGUUCGGAAGAUUACCAAGAUCUCUCAAGCUGCCCAUAUCAUGUGAAACAAUAGCAGGAAGGAUAUUUGUUGGUGUUAAAUUGUAUGUUGCUGAUAUCGAACUGUCAAUUCCAGUAGCUACUGCCUUGUGAGUCGUUGAAAUUUUGAUCUCCUUCGAAGCUGCUAAAUUAUUCGCCUUUUGUUGUUGUCCGGAUGGUACAAAUACAACAACAUUUAGACUCAAACCUAUUUUCUUUGGGACACUGUCAGUCGAUUUAGAAAUUUGCUUGCUUUGCACAGCUACUGCUUGGUCAUGAGAUGGAGGUGCUGCUGAAAAUCGAGCUGCCGGAUUUGCAUAAUCAGUGUCAAAGAUAUAUGUAUUAUCUUCUUCCGCCUCUUGAACAUGGUCAACCCAAGUCUUUUGAUUCAGUGUAAAUGCACUCGUGACCCCUUGAUGCUCCUUUGAAUUAGUUAACUCAUUUGUGGAUGUUUGAGAGAGCGAUGCCAAAUAUGUUUUUGUUGUUUGUUGUUUCCCGUUGACAGUAGCUAUCCUGAAUCAUCUGCUUGUUCACCAAAAGACUCGAUCGAUUGGGAGGGUACCUCAAAGACAGUUGUAUUCAAUGUGACAAGCGAUGCCUUCAUCUUUGUAGUUGUGUUCAUCAUCAUAGCUGCCUGGGCAUCCUUUACCAGUUAUGCUAGUUCAGGAUCAGAAAUAUGCAGUGUUGGAGUUGCUGCAUCAGUUGGUAGUGUAUGCUUACAAUUUUGAUCAUUAACAGUUACGAGCUGAAGUCAAGCACGUUGGUCUUUCGUAUUCUUUUGCUCUUUUUCACUAUCUUUGUAUCAUGUAUUUGCAAUUACUGGUGUUGCUGUAUCCUCCAGCUGUUGCUCUGUAUGCCCAGCCUCAUUCAUAGCAUGCUCACCCUCACACAGCAACGCGUCAAAAGAGUUGGAGAUCCCAAUGAUUGUCGAUGAGACAAUCUGACUGUGAAGGGUUGGAGUUUGCUUCUUGGUUAGUGAUCUAUUCACCCCUGUCCGGUUCUUACUCUUUGUAUAUGAUUUUCUUGUAGAUGUAGCUGAUUGCCUUGGAGUGUCAUAUACCCGCCCAGCAUAUUUAGCCACUGAAUGAAUUGUCGUAGUUCGAUCCUCAUUUUUUUGCAAAUAAGCAUUAUAUUUGAAAACCCCAGUUGUUGCCUGCUCCCUUCUAGUUGAUCCUUAAAAUUGUGUAGCCUCUAUAUUGAUCCCCUUAGACCCUGUUGAAGCUGCAUAUUGUCUGCAUAUUGUAAUGCCUCAGCACCCAAUUUAGCAGUAGGUUUAAACACCCUAGUGGUAUGUCGAACACCAGGUGUUUCCGAUGCAGCAGUAUCCCCCAGUUUUGAAACAAUAGCGUCACUUCUCAAUGCCUUAGAAACUGUAGAUGUUGCAUAUUCUAAUUCCAUAACAUCUACUUUAUCAACAUUAGAUGUUGACCUCAAACGAACAACACCUUCUUGCUGCACACUAAAUACCUGAAAUUUAACAUCUUUUACAAUCUUUCCAAGUGAAUCAAUUUGUGCGUGAUUCUUAGCAUUUUGUACACGAUCAGCUCCAAUUAUUGCACUGCGGUCCACCAUCUGCUGAAGCUGCCCAUUUUCAAUAAUUAAACCUUUAAGAACUCCAUAUGAGAAUUGAUCACCCACAACCUCGUACAAUCUAGGCAAUAUAGAACUAGUAGCUGGAAUCACAGUUGCAUUCGAUGUCACUGCACAUUCCAAAUUUGAUCAUUGUCGAAUCUGCCCAAAAUCAUCAACAGAUGAAACUACUUCUAAACCUUCCUUUAGAGUAGCAUUUUGUUGAUCUACGACUGCCUGGAACUUCAACAUCUGGAGUUGUUCGUUAGAUUGAAAUUCAUGCCCAAUUCUUUUGACUUGUAAUCCUUGAGCCACCCUAGCCAAAGCUCGAUCAAUUGGUAUCUCGUCUAAAUUAGAAUUCUGCUCAAUCUUUUUCCCAGCAUCUGCUACGACCAAUUCCCCUGUUCCACACUCUUGCACAGUAUCCAUUUUGUGAGUUGUACCAGCUAGCACUUGCAAUGUCUUCUGCUGCCCAAUACUAUCAUCGUUUCCUGAGUUUUCUACAAGUUGUUGGCCAGUUCUCUUCGCAUUCAGAAACUCCCUAGUAUCUCCUUUUAAUUGUUCCACACUAGCCAUUUCGACAACAUGCAGUAGCGUAUGCGCUGCCCUGUUUUCCUUGUUAGGGCGAUCAUGUUUUAUCCACAACAACUGGUUUCCCACAUGCUGAAGCGAUUGACAACACCGAUUUCUUUGCAAACAAUAUUGGCGACGGAUUGUGAAACGAUAUCCACACUACUGCUUUUGAAGUUUCCUCUCUAGGAUUGAAUCCUAUCUUCCAUGGAAAUAUUCUUCACCUUUAGCCUUUAUAUAGCUAGCAGAUCUUGAUAAAACCAUAACAAAGUGUUCAUGGAGAUCGAUUAUUACCAAGAUAUGUAGGAAUUCGAGUUGUCCAAUAUUGCAUCGACCUUUAACUUCUAAUUGGACUGGGAGAAUCCGCCUUGGUUCUUGUAAAUCAGGUUUUCCAUAAGAAAACUUAAUAAUCACAGCUUGGUGCAAACCUUCUUCCAUGGUGAAUUGAUUAACAUCCUCCAUAGAAAAUUCGAUUAUUGGUGCUCCAUGGAUGAACUUCACUGGAAUCAAAGCAUGUUUGUGGAAUAGAAGGAUUAAUGUUUGGAUUAUUUUUGUUUUGAUGUUGCUCUCCCAUAUCCAAAGGUUGGGGAGAGAUUGUGGAAGCCAUGGCUUCUCUAGUUCCCCAUAAGAAGCUGCCCAAAACCGAAGAGAGAGGAGAGAGCGUUUAUUUUAGAGAGAGAAUUUUUUUUUCGUCUUGUUGCCUACGUUUUUGGUUCACAGCCUUGAAGUUUUUUCUCUUUUAAGUAUGCCAUUGAUCUUUGGAAUGAUUAUCCCUGGUAGUUUGCUGAGUUGUUCCCGUUUGUUUUAUAUUUUCCUGUUGUUCUGCAUUUUGGUCUUGCACCCCCAUCUUUUGCUUGGAAAUGUGAUUGUUGUUCUGACCUUGAAAGGAGUUGUUCUUGCUGAUGGUGUAGGGCAGUUGUAGCUGUAUUCCCAAUUGUAUUUUGGUUGACAUGUUUGUUUGAGGAUUCAGCAGAAGUUUUCCUUUUUUGCUCCUCUUCUUUUUUCUUGGUGGAUUAGUAAUAUUCCUAAUGUCCCAGGUGUUUGCAGUGUAAGCAAUAAGUUGGAAGGUCUUCAUACACCACUUCCAACCACUACCCGUCCCCAUUAACAUCCUGGUCAUCGUCAAAACCCAGCCACACAUGAUGAGGUCUAUCUUGGGAUAUAUCUACCUGCAUCUUCACUUUUGCAACACUUCCUCUGGUUUUUUGCAUUGAUGCAAGGUCAAGGUGGAGUACCUUACCAAUUGGUGACAACAAAAUAGAUAGGACCUCCCUAUAGUAGAAAUACCAUGGUAGUUCUGGUAUGACGAUCCAAACAGGGACAAUGGGAGUAUCUUUAUUAGGGUUGAAGUUUGGAGUCCAAGCUUGUAACUCCAUUCUUUGACCCUGAAUGUACAUGAAUUUCUUUGUCCAGACAGUUGUGUGAUCAUACUCAUUGUGUAGAUCAAUGUACACUGUCCUUGCAUUGAAGUGGGCUAUUUUGACUCCCCCCUGAGCUCAGUUUGAUAUAUGAAGCUUCAC